CUCCCGGGGAAGGCGCGGUGAGAGACGGCCGGGCUCGGCGCUUUCCCGCCCCGGGUGUCCCCCCCUCCCGGCGGGCGGGGAGAGUGGGGAGAAGAUGGCGGCCAUUUUGUGCUUGCGCAGAGGCGAAGGCUUGAGAAAAGUGCAGAGCAAGCAGAAUGGACAAUAACGUUUGGAUACAGAGAGGACAGUGCAUUAAGAAAAAGUUUUGGCCUGAAACUCUUGGACGCAUUAGCUUUUAAUGUUUUCCCAAUAAAAGAGAUUGUGUUUAAAUAUUUUGUAGCAGAAGAUGAUUAGCCCUCAAAAUUAAUUUGCUAGUAAGAUGGAAAGUGUGAUAACUGAAAACAAUGUGACAUCAGCCCUGAUGUCUGUUCUGUAAAAGAUGAUGACAGGAAAAGGUAUGGAACAUUACCAGACUGACAUUUUAUCUUCCUUUUGGUUAGAAAAUGCAGGUAUAUUUUAGGGGUUUUUCCAUUUUGUAGCCUUUACCAAAAUGCACACUUUACAUCUGUAGACAUCAGUGCUGCACUAUGACAGUAGCUUAUGCAGAAUUGACUCAUCAUUGUCCCAACAUCAUCUGGACAGAUAAGCAAGAAAAUGGUAAAAUGGG